CCUACGGGAGGCAGCAGUGGGGAAUAUUGGACAAUGGGGGAAACCCUGAUCCAGCAAUGCCGCGUGGGUGAAGAAGGCCUGCGGGUUGUAAAGCCCUUUCGGUGAAGACAUUUAACUCACUAAAGAAGCACCGGCUAACUCUGUGCCAGCAGCCGCGGUAAUACAGAGGGUGCAAGCGUUAAUCGGAAUUACUGGGCGUAAAGCGCACGUAGGUGGCUUGAUAAGUUGGGUGUGAAAUCCCCGGGCUUAACCUGGGAAUUGCAUUCAAGACUGUCUUGCUCGAGUGUGGAAGAGGGAAGCGGAAUUCCAGGUGUAGCGGUGAAAUGCGUAGAUAUCUGGAGGAACAUCAGUGGCGAAGGCGGCUUCCUGGUCCAAACUGACACUGAGGUGCGAAAGCGUGGGGAGCAAACAGGAUUAGAUACCCUUGUAGUC
rnacentral:rRNA from 1 species